UGAUUUGUGCAACUUGCUUGCAAAUAGUUCAACAGUAUUAACAAUGAUUGAAUUUAGGUGGUGGGCAUAUGGGAAUUUAUCAUCCUAUUAAACAGUUUUCUGUACUUCUGAGACUUAUAAUAAAACAUUGGAAGGAACCUGUUAGACAUAAUGCUCUAUGUGAAGUAAUUUGUUCCCUUUGUGAAAUUCUAGGAAGGUUAAAAUGCAUGUUCAUAACAUCAAGAAAGUCACAAGCAUUUACGAUGUAAUCAGAACUACCUGAGGAUCUGUGAAACUUGAUGUGUUAUUCUGGGAGAUCAUCAGGACUUCUGCGUAUUUGGAGGUAUUGACCUAACCAGUGGAACUGCUGAUUUAUAAGAAGUUGUCCAGAAUUUUG